rnacentral:rRNA from 1 species
GACGAACGCUGGCGGCGUGCUUAACACAUGCAAGUCGAACGGAAAGGCCUCUUUCGGGGGGUACUCGAGUGGCGAACGGGUGAGUAACACGUGAGUAACCUGCCCUUGACUUUGGGAUAACUUCAGGAAACUGGGGCUAAUACCGGAUAGGAGCUCCUGCGGCAUGGUGGGGGCUGGAAAGUUUCGGCGGUUGGGGAUGGACUCGCGGCGUAUCAGCUUGUUGGUGGGGUAGUGGCUUACCAAGGCUUUGACGGGUAGCCGGCCUGAGAGGGUGACCGGCCACAUUGGGACUGAGAUACGGCCCAGACUCCUACGGGAGGCAGCAGUGGGGAAUAUUGAACAAUGGGUGGAAGCCUGAUGCAGCAACGCCGUGUGCGGGAUGACGGCCUUCGGGUUGUAAACCGCUUUCGCUCAUGACGAAGCUUUGUGUGACGGUAGUGGGUAAAGAAGCACCGGCUAACUACGUG